rnacentral:misc_RNA from 1 species
ACGGAUGUGCAUGACUACGGCGUCAAGAUGCGCAACGUGAUGAAGUUUCUUGAGAACGGCGACAAGGUGAAGGUCACGCUGCGGUUCCGCGGCCGGGAAAUGGCCCACCAGAACCUUGGCCGCAACCUGCUGGAGCGGGUGGCCGAAGACGUCAAGGAAAUCGGCAAGAUCGAGAAUAUGCCGAGGAUGGAAGGCCGCCAGAUGGUCAUGAUGAUCGGCCCGAUACCGGUCAAGUAAACCGCGGCCCCGGGCGAGGAAACCCGGAUCCCGAACAGGCAAAGCGCGAAGGGCAACCUUUCGCGCUUUUUCUUUUUGAUCACCGCGCUUUGCGUCACACGCGC